rnacentral:rRNA from 1 species
AGCAGCCGCGGUAAUUCCAGCUCCAAUAGCGUAUAUUAAAGUUGUUGCAGUUAAAAAGCUCGUAGUUGAACUUCGGGGUUUACCCAUUGGUCAGGCUUAAUUGUCUGCACUGGUGAGAUGAAUCUCUACCUUCUGAGGAACUUUCAGCCAUUUAUUUGGUGUGAUGGGAAAUCAGGACUGUUACUUUGAAAAAAUUAGAGUGUUUAAAGCAGGCUAACGUCUGAAUACAUUAGCAUGGAAUGAUGAAAUAGGACGGACUGAUUCUAUUUCGUUGGUUUCUAGGAUCACCGUAAUGAUUAAUAGGGAUAGUUGGGGGCAUUAGUAUUCGAUUGUCAGAGGUGAAAUUCUUGGAUUUAUUGAAGACUAACUACUGCGAAAGCGUUUGCCCAGGAUAUUUUCAUUAAUCGAGAACGAAAGUUAGGGGAUCGAAGGCGAUCAGAUACCGUCGUAGUCUUAACCAUAAACUAUGCCGACUAGGGAUCGGACGAAGUUAAUUUUAUAAUGACGCGUUCGGCACAUUACG